rnacentral:lncRNA from 1 species
CUUUCCCCAUUUCCCUUGUCUGUGUGUAUUUCAGUUGCAGCAUGUUUAGUUCUCAGUUCAGCAUGCUCAGUCCCUUCUCUUGUCUAUUUAUUGUUCAUUAUUUUGGUUUGAGUUCUUGUACACCCACAUUUCCCUUGAAUCCCUUUAAUUCAGUCUUGCUCUCUUAUGUGAUUCUCAUUUCCCUGAUCCCUGUUUGAAUAUGAGUGUGUUCUUGAUUAGGGUGGCAUCUCAUUGCCACUCCUAUUUUAGAACUACGGUUGUUAACAGCCUAUGCUCAAAGUAAUCCCAAUCCCUACCCCCAUAUUAUGUAUUUGAGCCUUGACAAGGGUCUGUUGGUGUCCUAAUCACCAUACAUGUCCUAGUCUGACUUGUUUACAAGUCUGCUCUUGUUUGUUCACCUUUGUAGGUGGUUAGGGGUAUGCUAACCUAACUCCAUAGGCUAGGUAUGACCACCUCCUACAUUGGUCUUCCUCUAACUCAUCACAUUGACACUUAUUCUUAGUGCUUUAAGUCCUACUUCCCCUUGGUAAGCCAUGCUUAGGGGACCCCAGAGUCUCCUCUGAACUUGGAUGCCUUGGGGCUAGUAAUUCCAUACUUGCACU